rnacentral:rRNA from 1 species
CCCUUAGAUGUUCUGGGCCGCACGCGCGCUACACUGACGAAGUCAGCGAGCAUGUCCUACGCCGACAGGUGCGGGGAAUCUUGUCAAACUUCGUCGUGAUGGGGAUUGAUUAUUGAAAUUCUUGAUCAUCAACGAGGAAUUCCUAGUAAGCGCAAGUCAGCAGCUUGCGUUGAUUACGUCCCUGCCCUUUGUACACACCGCCCGUCGCUACUACCGAUUGAAUGGUUUAGUGAGAUCUUCGGAUUGGCGCCACUGCGGCUCAGCAGUGGGCUCGGUGGAUGCCGAAAAGUUGAUCAAACUUGAUCAUUUAGAGGAAGUAAAAGUCGUAACA